rnacentral:rRNA from 1 species
GACGAACGCUGGCGGUGUGCUUAAUACAUGCAAGUCGAACGAUGAGGCCCUUCGGGGUACAUCAGUGGCGGACGGCUGAGUAACGCGUAGAUAACGUGCCCUGGACUGGGGGAUAACACCGGGAAACCGGUGCUAAUACCGCAUAAGUCGCUGGUUGAAAUACUGGUGAUUAAAGAAUUUCGGUUCAGGAUCGGUCUGCGUCUGAUUAGCUAGUUGGUAGGGUAAAGGCCUACCAAGGCAAUGAUCAGUAGUUGGUCUGAGAGGAUGACCAGCCAGAGUGGGACUGAGACACGGCCCACACUUCUACGGAAGGCAGCAGUAGGGAAUUUUGCGCAAUGGGCGAAAGCCUGACGCAGCAACACCGCGUGCGGGAUGACGGUCUUCGGAUUGUAAACCGCUGUCAGCAGGGAAUAUAAUGACUGUACCUGCAAAGGAAGCAUCGGCUAACUACGUGCCAGCCGCCGCAGUAAGAC